rnacentral:rRNA from 1 species
UAAGGAAUCUUCCACAAUGGGCGAAAGCCUGAUGGAGCAACGCCGCGUGUGUGAUGAAGGGUUUCGGCUCGUAAACACUGUUGUAAGAGAAGAAUGACAUUGAGAGUAACUGUUCAAUGUGUGACGGUAUCUUACCAGAAAGGAACGGCUAAAUACGUGCCAG